CCUGUUUUUCUUUUAUCGUAGAAUCAUCUAAUACAACAAUGCAGCUGCAACGGACAAGAGGGUAGCAGAUAAACCGGCGACGGAGAAAGAGGGAGCAGAGCCUGGUGAAGGAGGGGUGGUAGAACCUGAAGGGGAUUGUGAUGGACCACCUGAGGGGGACGGUGAUGUGGGAGUGGUGGAGCUGGAGGGUGGGGUGGUUGGACUUGUGGAAGAGUUGGUAGUGACGUUAAUGGCCAACUUCUGGCCGAGGGAGCAGUGGCUACCGACGGUGCAGAUGAAAUAGUGUUCACCGGCGGUGUCAAGAUCGAUAUCUGCAGGGCCUUCGGUUUCAUGGGAGAUGGGGUUUGUGCCAUUGCAGGCAGUGAACGCCGCCUUUGUAACUUCGGCAACAUCAUGUGCUCCGGUUGUGAAAUUGAAUUCUGCAAAACAUACAAACAGAGAAUAUGUCAGCCGGAGAAAUUUCUUAAUCGCUACAGCGUUUGAAGGGUUAUCCAGCUUCCAAGUUAGAUUUUUCCGUCAACUUACUCAGACUGUCUCCCACCACGAAGGUCUUGUUCGCAGCCCAGUUCUGGUAAGUAACGGCACCGCCCGAAGGAACAGUCCAACCCAAAGAGUCUCCGACGAUGAACUCAGUCUCAGCUCUGGCAGCAGAGACGUUGACGGCCAGCUUCUGACCCAAGCUACAGUGGGUGCCCACGGUGCAGAUGAAAUAAUGCUCACCGGAAGUAUCAAGAGUGAAGUUUGCAGGACCUGUGGUUUUAUGGGAGAUGGGAUUCGUGGAAUUGCAGGCAUCGAAGGCAGUCUUGGUAACCUUCGCCACAUCAUGUGCCCCAGUAGUAAAUUCAAAUUC
rnacentral:lncRNA from 1 species